GCAGCAACGCCGCGUGGAGGAUGACACUUUUCGGAGCGUAAACUCCUUUUGUUAGGGAAGAAUAAUGACGGUACCUAACGAAUAAGCACCGGCUAACUCCGUGCCAGCAGCCGCGGUAAUACGGAGGGUGCAAGCGUUACUCGGAAUCACUGGGCGUAAAGGACGCGUAGGCGGAUUAUCAAGUCUCUUGUGAAAUCUAACGGCUUAACCGUUAAACUGCUUGGGAAACUGAUAAUCUAGAGUAAGGGAGAGGCAGAUGGAAUUCUUGGUGUAGGGGUAAAAUCCGUAGAGAUCAAGAAGAAUACCCAUUGCGAAAGCGAUCUGCUGGAACUUAACUGACGCUAAUGCGUGAAAGCGUGGGGAGCAAACAGGAUUAGAUACCCUGGUAGUCCACGCCCUAAACGAUGUAUACUAGUUGUUGCUAAGCUAGUCUUGGCAGUAAUGCACCUAACGGAUUAAGUAUACCGCCUGGGGAGUACGGUCGCAAGAUUAAAACUCAAAGGAAUAGACGGGGACCCGCACAAGCGGUGGAGCAUGUGGUUUAAUUCGAAGAUACGCGAAGAACCUUACCCGGACUUGAUAUCUAACAAAUCAUCCAGAGAUGGAAGAGUGUCUGCUUGCAGAAAUGUUAAGACAGGUGCUGCACGGCUGUCGUCAGCUCGUGUCGUGAGAUGUUGGGUUAAGUCCCGCAACGAGCGCAACCCACGUCAUUAGUUGCUAACGGUUCGGCCGAGCACUCUAAUGAGACUGCCUUCGUAAGGAGGAGGAAGGUGUGGACGACGUCAAGUCAUCAUGGCCCUUAUGUCCGGGGCGACACACGUGCUACAAUGGCAUAUACAAUGAGAAGCAAUAUCGCGAGAUGGAGCAAAUCUAUAAAAUAUGUCCCAGUUCGGAUUGGAGUCUGCAACUCGACUCCAUGAAGCCGGAAUCGCUAGUAAUCGUAGAUCAGCCAUGCUACGGUGAAUACGUUCCCGGGUCUUGUACUCACCGCCCGUCACACCAUGGGAGUUGAUUUCACUCGAAGCCCAAAUACCAAACCGGUUAUGGUCCACAGUGGAAUCAGCGACUGGGGUGAAGUCGUAACAAGGUAACCGUAGGAGAACCUGCGGUUG
rnacentral:rRNA from 1 species